rnacentral:misc_RNA from 1 species
CCGAGUUUACAACUCCCAAACCCCUGUGAACAUACCUAUAACGUUGCCUCGGCGGUGCCCGCUCCCCGUAAAACGGGACGGCCCGCCAGAGGAAAACCAAACUCUAUUGUUUCCGCAGUAUCUUCUGAGUAAACACAAGUAAAUAAUCA